UGGCUGGAGAGAAGGCACAUCCUGCUCUAGCAGAGGACUGGAGAGAGAGUGAGCGAGCAGCAAGCGUAAUGGACUGUCAAAUGCCAGCAACCUGUUUACUGUGAUCUUUACUCUGUGUGCCUACUGUAGGGCAGCGGGUUCAGAAGGCAGAGGCUGCCCAGUGUCCGCUGGUUCCCUGGACCCAUGGAGCCCCUUCAGAGGAACACAAUGAGAUGCCGACUCAUGCUCUGCACUGACGCCCCCUUGAUGGACUACUGGUGCUGCUCUAGCUGAGUUUUCUGAGAUUCUAGACUUAGGUGACACCCAAUAAUUACCAGGUAAACAGACGGCCAAGAUGCUUAUGUUUCCUUGUACCCAAAGUUCAUACUUUGAACCACCUUCUGACCUAAUCUUCCUACACGGAAGCAAUAGUCCUCUGGUUCUAACCCAAUCCAGGGCUAGGAACCAGAAACAAGUCUGUCCCAAAGCCCUCUGACAUCAUUCACCCUGGCCAGUCUAGAGCUGUUCAAUCUAUAUUUUCUUUCCCACAGAAACUCUAGGUCACUUGCCUAGCAUAUAUGAGGCCUUGGCUUGGAACCCAGUCCAUCCCCCCAACCCCCCCAACCUCCUGUAGCCACCCUCAGCUACAUGAACCAGGUUUCUGAAAGGGAGGCUGGAGCUGCAUGGGAGAAAAUGGUGAGAGAAAUAACGAGACCAAGACAAAGAUUCUGAUCAAGGCCCAAAGUUUACUUAAGAGUCUGAGCUUAUAAAGGGGGGGGGGUUCCCAUCCCCUACCAUGCCAGGAUCUUGUUUUGUCAGGAUAGAGUCAGGAGAACAGGUUCAGCCUCUCAGCAGGUAGCUGCAUCACUGAGACCAAAUCCAGAGCCAGGUUUCUGCUCUGCAAGUGCUCCACCAUUAAGCAACACCAGCCCCAGCAGGAUAUUUUUUACAGAAUUGAUCCAGCCUUGGUCCAGCUGAGUACUGCUGUUCUUGGUUUAUUUUGUGGCUGUGACAAAUACCUUGACAGAGAGCAGCAUGAUGGAGAAGAGGGUUUGUUUGGCUUACAAUUCCAGGUCACAGACCUUCACUGUGGGAAAGUCAAGGUAGGAACCUGAGGCAGCAAGUCACAUCUGCGGUAGGGAGCAGAGAGAAAUGCAUGCAAGCCUACCUCCUCCACUCUUGCAAAGUCCAAGACCCAAAACCAGGCACGGUACCACCAUCAAUGGGCUGUGUCUUCCCACAUCAACCAGCAUAGUUAAGACUGUUCCCCACAGGUGUGUCCAACCAGACCUAGCUAAUCCCUCACCGAAACUGUCUUCCUAGAUGAUUCUGGACUGGGGUAAGUUGACAUGAACUGUCACACCUUCCUCUCCUAAAACCCUUCAGUGGCUUUCCCUUUGUGUUUGAAUGAAACCCAAGCCUGAUCUCAUCAUCUGUAAUGUAAUUUGUGGAAGGACUGAAUGCCACACGGUGUGAGCAGCCUGCAUCCAGCCUGGCCUUUAACAGGU
rnacentral:lncRNA from 1 species